GGAGUAUGGGCCGUUCUCAGUCCCAUUGUGGCUGUUCAACCUCUCAGUCCAGCUACGCAUCAUCGCCUUGGUGGGCCUUUACCUCACCAACUAGCUAAUGCGCCGCAGGCCCCUCUUAUGGUGGAUCGCUCCUUUAAACAUUUAAUCAUGUGAUUUAUAAUGUCCUAUCCAGUAUUAUCCUUCGUUUCCAACUGUUGUCCCCCUCUAUCAGGUAGUUUCCCAAAUGUUACUCACCCGUCCGCCACUCGUCAGCUAGAAAAGCAAGCUUUUCUACUGUUACCGUUCGACUUGCAUGUAUUAGGCCUGCCGCCAGCGUUCAAU
rnacentral:rRNA from 1 species